rnacentral:rRNA from 1 species
UACGUAGGGAGCAAGCGUUGAUCGGAUUUACUGGGCGUAAAGGGCGCGUAGGCGGCAUGACAAGUCACUUGUGAAAUCUCUGGGCUUAACCCAGAACGGCCAAGUGAUACUGUCGCGCUAGAGUGCGGAAGGGGCAAUCGGAAUUCUCGGUGUAGCGGUGAAAUGCGUAGAUAUCGAGAGGAACACCUGAGGUGAAGACGGGUUGCUGGGCCGACACUGACGCUGAGUGCGCGAAAGCCAGGGGAGCAAACGGG